UCCUUAGUAGCUUAGUGGUAGAGCGGUCGGCUUUUAACUGACUGGUCGUAGGUUCAAAUCCUACUUGGGGAG
rnacentral:tRNA from 1 species